GAAUCGUCACACUAUCAUUAACUGAAUCCAUAGGUUAAUGAGGCGAACCGGGGGAACUGAAACAUCUAAGUACCCCGAGGAAAAGAAAUCAACCGAGAUUCCCCCAGUAGCGGCGAGCGAACGGGGAGGAGCCCAGAGCCUGAAUCAGCAUGUGUGUUAGUGGAAGCGUCUGGAAAGGCGCGCGAUACAGGGUGACAGCCCCGUACACAAAAGCGCAUGUGCUGUGAGCUCGAUGAGUAGGGCGGGACACGUGGUAUCCUGUCUGAAUAUGGGGGGACCAUCCUCCAAGGCUAAAUACUCCUGACUGACCGAUAGUGAACCAGUACCGUGAGGGAAAGGCGAAAAGAACCCCGGCGAGGGGAGUGAAAAAGAACCUGAAACCGUGUACGUACAAGCAGUGGGAGCACCCUUUGGGGUGUGACUGCGUACCUUUUGUAUAAUGGGUCAGCGACUUAUAUUCUGUAGCAAGGUUAACCGUAUAGGGGAGCCGGAGGGAAACCGAGUCUUAACCGGGCGUUAAGUUGCAGGGUAUAGACCCGAAACCCGGUGAUCUAGCCAUGGGCAGGUUGAAGGUUGGGUAACACUAACUGGAGGACCGAACCGACUAAUGUUGAAAAAUUAGCGGAUGACCUGUGGCUGGGGGUGAAAGGCCAAUCAAACCGGGAGAUAGCUGGUUCUCCCCGAAAGCUAUUUAGGUAGCGCCUCGUGAAUUCAUCUCCGGGGGUAGAGCACUGUUUCGGCUAGGGGGCCAUCCCGGCUUACCAACCCGAUGCAAACUGCGAAUACCGGAGAAUGUUAUCACGGGAGACACACGGCGGGUGCUAACGUCCGUCGUGAAGAGGGAAACAACCCAGACCGCCAGCUAAGGUCCCAAAGUCAUGGUUAAGUGGGAAACGAUGUGGGAAGGCCCAGACAGCCAGGAUGUUGGCUUAGAAGCAGCCAUCAUUUAAAGAAAGCGUAAUAGCUCACUGGUCGAGUCGGCCUGCGCGGAAGAUGUAACGGGGCUAAACCAUGCACCGAAGCUGCGGCAGCGACGCUGAUGCGUUGUUGGGUAGGGGAGCGGACGAGGCACUACGGUGCUGAAGCAACAAAUGCCCUGCUUCCAGGAAAAGCCUCUAAGCAUCAGGUAACAUCAAAUCGUACCCCAAACCGACACAGGUGGUCAGGUAGAGAAUACCAAGGCGCUUGAGAGAACUCGGGUGAAGGAACUAGGCAAAAUGGUGCCGUAACUUCGGGAGAAGGCACGCUGACACGUAGGUGAAGUGAUUUACUCAUGGAGCUGAAGUCAGUCGAAGAUACCAGCUGGCUGCAACUGUUUAUUAAAAACACAGCACUGUGCAAACACGAAAGUGGACGUAUACGGUGUGACGCCUGCCCGGUGCCGGAAGGUUAAUUGAUGGGGUCAGCGCAAGCGAAGCUCCUGAUCGAAGCCCCGGUAAACGGCGGCCGUAACUAUAACGGUCCUAAGGUAGCGAAAUUCCUUGUCGGGUAAGUUCCGACCUGCACGAAUGGCGUAAUGAUGGCCAGGCUGUCUCCACCCGAGACUCAGUGAAAUUGAACUCGCUGUGAAGAUGCAGUGUACCCGCGGCAAGACGGAAAGACCCCGUGAACCUUUACUAUAGCUUGACACUGAACAUUGAGCCUUGAUGUGUAGGAUAGGUGGGAGGCUUUGAAGUGUGGACGCCAGUCUGCAUGGAGCCGACCUUGAAAUACCACCCUUUAAUGUUUGAUGUUCUAACGUGGACCCGUGAUCCGGGUUGCGGACAGUGUCUGGUGGGUAGUUUGACUGGGGCGGUCUCCUCCUAAAGAGUAACGGAGGAGCACGAAGGUUGGCUAAUCCUGGUCGGACAUCAGGAGGUUAGUGCAAUGGCAUAAGCCAGCUUGACUGCGAGCGUGACGGCGCGAGCAGGUGCGAAAGCAGGUCAUAGUGAUCCGGUGGUUCUGAAUGGAAGGGCCAUCGCUCAACGGAUAAAAGGUACUCCGGGGAUAACAGGCUGAUACCGCCCAAGAGUUCAUAUCGACGGCGGUGUUUGGCACCUCGAUGUCGGCUCAUCACAUCCUGGGGCUGAAGUAGGUCCCAAGGGUAUGGCUGUUCGCCAUUUAAAGUGGUACGCGAGCUGGGUUUAGAACGUCGUGAGACAGUUCGGUCCCUAUCUGCCGUGGGCGCUGGAGAACUGAGGGGGGCUGCUCCUAGUACGAGAGGACCGGAGUGGACGCAUCACUGGUGUUCGGGUUGUCAUGCCAAUGGCACUGCCCGGUAGCUAAAUGCGGAAGAGAUAAGUGCUGAAAGCAUCUAAGCACGAAACUUGCCCCGAGAUGAGUUCUCCCUGAGACUU
rnacentral:rRNA from 1 species